AGAUGAAGGAAAACUGGCUAUAAUAAUUGUCCCUUUUUGGGUCAUUCAGGCUGCUUAAGAUGAUCUAAUUUGAUAGUUUGGCAUCCUCUUCACCUUCUGCCAUUUCAUGUUUGAACCUCCUGAAAAAGCCCUGUUCCACUAAAGUGGUUUUUUGUCCCCAGUUGAAGAGUACCAUUCUUAGGUCAAGAGUAUAUUCAAUCCAAGUCAAUAAGCGUGUAUUAAGCACCUACUGGGAGCAAGGCACUGUGCUUGACACU
rnacentral:sRNA from 1 species